GCCAGUGAGCGCACAGCUGGAACAGACAUAACAGACAGGACAAUGGGCUGGUCACUCUGCUUAUCGGCCCAGAACACCAGGGAUGGUGGUCCACUGGCCUCAUCAAAUGAUCAAGUGCGUGGGCAUCAUUUGUACCCAAUACCAUUUCUAGGGCCAGUUCUCUCGAGUGGGACUCCCGGCUUGCUUUGAUGAACAUCACCACCUGGUCAUGAGUGUGCUCUGAGAUGUCCCGGCCAUUGAUCAACACGAUCUGAUCCCCUUCAUUCAGCUUAGGCAUGCAAGUGUCCGCCUGGUGGAGGGAAGUGAGUUUCUUUGUUACCAUAGCACUGGCCUCAAGGGGAAGAAGAAGGCUGCCUCUCUCUGAUCCCAGACACCUGAGACUGCGAUCAAGUUUACCUCUUCUCCCUUGGGUAUCACUGUCACCGUUUGCAUAGCUGCUGCUAGGUGGACAUAGUAGCUGCUGGUGGUGAGAUUUUAAAGAGAAUCAGAAUGUAAACUAUGAGACACUUCAGAACAGAGAAGCCAGGUUUAUGGAAGCAUUUCUCCAUGGGAGCCCACCUUGCUGAACAGAAUGACACAACAACGCCUCCAACCUUCUGUUUGUUGGAUAGACUGUUUGAAAAUGCCCAGUCAGCUAUGAAUGAGCAUUAAUCUCCCUUGUCUUACAAGGAAGAAAUAUAAUGUUGUCAGUCCCAUAGCAGGGGCAGAAACUAUAGCAGAAUAGUGUGGGGAAGCAAGCUUUAUUCCCUACAAACUACAAACAAAAAGCAACUGCUAAGUAGCAAUUAAAAAACAAACAAACCUGUGUGUGUA